AACGAACGCUGGCAGCAUGCCUAACACAUGCAAGUCGAACGAGAUCUUCGGGUCUAGUGGCGCACGGGUGCGUAACGCGUGGGAAUCUGCCCUUUGGUUCGGAAUAACAGUUGGAAACGACUGCUAGUACCGGAUGAUGACGAAAGUCCAAAGAUUUAUCGCCAGAGGAUGAGCCCGCGUAGGAUUAGCUAGGUGGUGUGGUAAAGGCGCACCAAGGCGACGAUCCUUAGCUGGUCUGAGAGGAUGAUCAGCCACACUGGGACUGAGACACGGCCCAGACUCCUACGGGAGGCAGCAGUGGGGAAUAUUGGACAAUGGGCGAAAGCCUGAUCCAGCAAUGCCGCGUGAGUGAUGAAGGCCCUAGGGUUGUAAAGCUCUUUUACCCGGGAUGAUAAUGACAGUACCGGGAGAAUAAGCCCCGGCUAACUCCGUGCCAGCAGCCGCCGUAA
rnacentral:rRNA from 1 species